AAUAACCAAAUAACCUACUUGGGUUAAGGGUCAAGUUGGUAAUUCUUCUUACAUCUCCACCCCCGGGUGCCCAGGUAUCAUAUACGCCCCCAAAAUAAAGAGCUUUGAGGACCAGGAGAAAGGCUCCUAUACCUAAGAGGAUCAAGUGAAUACCCAAAAUUGUGGUCAUUUUAUUUCUAUCUUUCCA
rnacentral:antisense_RNA from 12 species